rnacentral:rRNA from 1 species
GGCUUAGAGUUUGAUCAUGGCUCAGGAUAAACGCUGGCGGCGCACAUAAGACAUGCAAGUCGAACGGACUUAACCAUUAGUUUACUAUUGGAGCGGUUAGUGGCGGACUGGUGAGUAACACGUAAGCAACCUGCCUAUCAGAGGGGAACAACAGUUAGAAAUGACUGCUAAUACCGCAUAUGCCAAGAGUAUCGCAUGAUACAAUUGGGAAAGGAGAAAUCCGCUGAUAGAUGGGCUUGCGUCUGAUUAGAUAGUUGGUGUGGUAACGGCAUACCAAGUCGACGAUCAGUAGCCGAACUGAGAGGUUGAACGGCCACAUUGGGACUGAGAUACGGCCCAGACUCCUACGGGAGGCAGCAGUCGGGAAUAUUGCGCAAUGGAGGAAACUCUGACGCAGUGACGCCGCGUGCAGGAAGAAGGUUUUCGGAUUGUAAACUGCUUUAGACAGGGAAGAAAAAAGACAGUACCUGUAGAAUAAGCUCCGGCUAACUACGUGCCAGCAGCCGCGGUAAUACGUAGGGAGCAAGCGUUAUCCGGAUUUAUUGGGUGUAAAGGGUGCGUAGACGGGAAAUUAAGUUAGUUGUGAAAGUUUGCGGCUCAACCGUAAAAUUGCAGUUGAUACUGGAUAUCUUGAGUGCAGUUGAGGCAGGCG